CCUACGGGAGGCAGCAGUGGGGAAUAUUGGACAAUGGGCGAAAGCCUGAUCCAGCAAUGCCGCGUGAGUGAUGAAGGCCUUAGGGUCGUAAAGCUCUUUUACCCGGGAUGAUAAUGACAGUACCGGGAGAAUAAGCCCCGGCUAACUCCGUGCCAGCAGCCGCGGUAAUACGGAGGGGGCUAGCGUUGUUCGGAAUUACUGGGCGUAAAGCGUGCGUAGGCGGUUAUUCAAGUCAGAGGUGAAAGCCCGGGGCUCAACCCCGGAACGGCCUUUGGAAACUAGGUAGCUAGAAUCUUGGAGAGGUCAGUGGAAUUCCGAGUGUAGAGGUGAAAUUCGUAGAUAUUCGGAAGAACACCAGUGGCGAAGGCGACUGACUGGACAAGUAUUGACGCUGAGGCACGAAAGCGUGGGGAGCAAACAGGAUUAGAUACCCUGGUAGUCUACGCCGUAAACGAUGAUAACUAGCUGUUCGGGUACUUGGUAUCUGAGUGGCGCAGCUAACGCAUUAAGUUAUCCGCCUGGGGAGUACGGUGCAAGAUUAAAACUCAAAGGAAUUGACGGCUGAGANGCGAGACGACACGAGGAGAG
rnacentral:rRNA from 1 species